UUACAUACACACACAUGCAUUAAGAGACAAGCACGCCUACUGUACUUGAAAAGAACCCAUUUAUACAUGUGAUUGGCUAAGAGAAGGAGUGCACUGAGUGCGCAAGAGAGCGAGAGAAAGGAGAGUGGAGAGAGAGAGUGUGUGGGUGUGUGAGAAAGGGAGAGAGGACAUCACAGAAAUGGAGGUCACUUAAAGAGCUGAAAGGAAAAAUAUGAUGCACUGCUUAUGCUCACCAGAAGAGGGUGGCAGACUCUAACAUGUCUUAUAAAAUGGACUCCUCUGGCCCCAAAAAAGGAUUCACCUGUGGAAGGUCAAACAGUGGACUUGAUAAUGCAUUUUCUGUAACACAACUAACAUAGAGAUCUUACACAUGCAGCAUGUUGGCUAUUCACCUAAAAAUGAUCAACUGUCCACAUUAAGAUACACUUGGUAAUGCUCUCCUGCUUACAUACACUGGUUCAGUAUUAAAAUGUUGUCUCAGAUAGCAUUAGGUGUGAUUCUCUCCUGCCUCAUCUUGUUAACGGUGUGUGGAAACGUGCUGGUGUGUCUGGCUGUCUGCGCAACCAGACGUCUACGCAGUGUCACCAACUGCUUCAUUGUGUCCCUCGCCAUUACUGACUUACUACUCGGAGCUCUCGUCCUCCCUUUCUCCACUCUCAUUGAGGUGACUGGGGAUUGGCCACUGGGAGCUCACUUCUGCAAUGUCUACAUUUCAAUGGAUGUCAUGCUGAGCACUGCUUCUAUUCUUAACCUCCUGGCCAUUAGCAUAGAUCGUUACAUUGCAGUCACGGUGCCUUUACGCUACCCCACUCUGGUGCUGCCAUGGCAUGUUGGUACGUCAUUAGCAGUAAUCUGGCUGGUAUCUAUUGGUGUCUCGUUUGUUCCUAUUCACCUGGGCUGGAAUACGGUGGACCAAACGGUGCAGAAUCAUGGUAAGGACGACCCUGCGGGAGACUGUCGCUUCGAGCUAAAUCCCACUUAUGUGGUAGUGGAUUCAGUAGCAACCUUUUAUCUCCCCCUGGUGGCAAUGUGCUGGACUUAUUACAGAGUGUUCCGCAUUGCACGGGCCCAGGCAAAGAGAAUCCUUUCCAUACAUCGAGCGUACUCUUCAACCACUAUGUCUUCAUUAUCAGGAGCAUCAGCGUUAGCACUACGUGAACACAAAGCUGCAGUGAGAUUAGCAGUUGUGCUGGGCGCCUUUGUAGUUUGUUGGUUUCCCUAUUUUACUUUUUUCACCAUUAUGGGGAUACGAAAGGAGACAGAUCUUCCACGCACUGCAUACUCAGUGGUCAUGUGGCUAGGCUAUGUUAACUCUACGUUAAACCCAUUCCUGUAUGCCGCGCUUAACAGGGAAUUUAGGUCUGCUUAUUGCAGGCUUUUGUGUGGCUGGAGGGGCAUCAACACACCAACAGGAACGCCAACUACUGCACUAGAGGCGGGGCUGUUGAAUGGGCUCACCCCUUCCAGCAGCAGGACAGAAUUCAUACCUGGAGCCUGUAUCAUGCUACAGGACAUGAGCAACGGAAACAGGGAUGGCAGCAAUGGGACAUCUCUUAGCAUCAUCAGUGUCCUGUCUAAUGGCCACAACAGGUAUUGGAGGCACAAAACUAAUGGACAACAAUUAGAAUACACAUUACAAGGUCCACUUUAUAAAUGUAUUUAAUUUUAUUAAUGAAUACAUUUUUGACUUGUUACAAGGGUGUGAUGUUCAAUAAUCAUCUCUCUAUCCCUGUUUAUUUCUCUCUGCCAGAUCAUAAUACUUUGAACAAAUCUGGACGCUGUCUCUCUUUCCAUAACCCCAAUCUAGGCUUCACCCCAGUUUCUAACGGCCCCCUAGUAUGAAGCAGUAGGAGUUGUCAGCCAUAGUCUGAUGAAACAUUUGGUCCUCUUGAGAGUUCUGAGGAAAGAAAAGCUCUGAAGAAAGAUUGAAAGAUUGUGUAUUGAAUCUUACAAGAACAGCUAAAAAAAUAUGAAUAAUGGGGCAACAGUGUGUUGGGGGAAGCUAACAACGACAACACAUCUAAUAACAAACAAACACAUCUCUGCAAACAGACGAGGCCUGAUUGUUGGAGGCUACAGGGAUAGAGACUAUUAGAAACGAACAGAAAGCGUUCUGUGCUAUAUGGUGCCCUCUCCAGGUCAGUGGAGGAACUGCAACAUAAAUGUGAAGACUGUAAAAAGACUGAAAGUUACCGUUUGUUUUUAUUCCUGUCAACUAAUGCCAAAAAUCUGAAGAGAAUUUCAUGUUCAACGAGAAUAUAUAAAGAUAGAUUUAAAGAAGAACAGUAAAAUAUCCAAUAAAAAAUACUAACUCAAA